CGACGUGAGUAACCUGCCUUGGAGUGGGGAAUAACAGUUGGAAACAGCUGCUAAUACCGCAUAAUAUGUCUGUGUCGCAUGGCACUGGGCAUCAAAGAUUUAUCGCUCUGAGAUGGACUCGCGUCUGAUUAGCUAGUUGGCGGGGUAACGGCCCACCAAGGCGACGAUCAGUAGCCGGACUGAGAGGUUGGCCGGCCACAUUGGGACUGAGACACGGCCCAGACUCCUACGGAAGGCAGCAG
rnacentral:rRNA from 1 species